CCUGCUCUGGAUGCUCUCGGAACUGUUUGAAGAACUGCCUGAAGUUGGCGAUCCGGCAAAGCCCAAACUGGUAUUCUUCUUCGAUGAAGCACAUCUCCUGUUUAACGAUGCGCCCAAGCCCCUGAUGGACAAGAUCGAGCAGGUCGUCCGUCUGAUCCGGUCGAAGGGUGUUGGCGUCUACUUCGUGACCCAAAAUCCUAUCGACGUUCCGGACAAAAUCCUCGCCCAGCUUGGCAACCGUGUGCAGCACGCACUGCGCGCCUUUACGCCGCGUGACCAAAAGGCGGUGCAGGCAGCAGCGCAAACCUUCCGGCCAAAUCCCAAUCUCGAUACCGCGCAGG
rnacentral:misc_RNA from 1 species